rnacentral:lncRNA from 1 species
GCUACAGGAUGGUAGCUGGUGGAGGAAUCUUGAAGGUGUUGCAGGCGAUAGAAUUGUUCUGGCGGGGAAGAAGAAGACAAGAGGACAUUACUACCUGAUUGAGAGUCCAGUGCAAAGUGGAGCUUCAGGAGCCAAGAGGAGCUCAGAGCGAGGUGGAGCUCCAGGUGGAGUUGGAUCGGGCACGAGAUGUGAGACUCGGGAGGAUGAGAGGCGAUAUCGCAAGGUGAGAUUCUUAUUGCCGCAGGAUAACACCCCGAGC